CCCUAUGGGGUGCACCAAGGCGGCUGCAACAAUCAACCCGGUGAUGGUUUCAGCGCAAGUCAAGGCAUAGUCAAACGCCGUUUUUCGUUCCAGGCCGAGACUCUCGGCAUUAUGCCUCAGGAUGGCGUCGAGAGCGUCCUGGGGUAGUCCGAAACCUGCCAGUAUUUCGACUGUCUUGCGGCCAUGCUCCUCGGGAUUGUUGCGGGGGUACUCGAAGUCGAGGUCAUGCAGCAAUCCGGUGAUUCCCCACAAUUCGACAUCCUGGCUCAUCCGAGCGGCUAAACUGCGCAUGAUGGCUUCGGUGGCCAGGCUGUGCUUCUUUAAUGUCUCAGUGUGGAUAUGAUCGUCUAAAAGCUGCAGUGCAUCGUUUCUUGUCAUGGGGUGGGCCAUGGAAGGAAUUGGCGGGAGAGC
rnacentral:rRNA from 1 species